rnacentral:misc_RNA from 1 species
GAUGAAGAACGCAGCAAAAUGCGAUAAGUAAUGUGAAUUGCAGAAUUCAGUGAAUCAUCGAAUCUUUGAACGCACAUUGCGCCCGCUGGUAUUCCGGCGGGCAUGCCUGUUCGAGCGUCAUUUCAACCCUCAAGCCCCCGGGUUUGGUGUUGGGGAUCGGCUCUGCCCUUCUGGGCGGUGCCGCCCCCGAAAUACAUCGGCGGUCUCGCUGCAGCCUCCAUUGCGUAGUAGCUAACACCUCGCAACUGGAACGCGGCGCGGCCAUGCCGUAAAACCCCAACUUCUGAAUGUUGACCUCGGAUCAGGUAGGAAUACCCGCUGAACUUAAGCAUAUCAAUAAGCGGAGGA